rnacentral:rRNA from 1 species
GAUGAACGCUGGCGGCGUGCCUAAUACAUGCAAGUCGAGCGAACGGACGAGAAGCUUGCUUCUCUGAUGUUAGCGGCGGACGGGUGAGUAACACGUGGAUAACCUACCUAUAAGACUGGGAUAACUUCGGGAAACCGGAGCUAAUACCGGAUGAUAUUUUGAACCGCACGGUUCAAAAGUGAAAGACGGUCUUGCUGUCACUUAUAGAUGGAUCCGCGCUGCAUUAGCUAGUUGGUAAGGUAAUGGCUUACCAAGGCAACGAUGCAUAGCCGACCUGAGAGGGUGAUCGGCCACACUGGAACUGAGACACGGUCCAGACUCCUACGGGAGGCAGCAGUAGGGAAUCUUCCGCAAAGGGCGAAAGCCUGACGGAGCAACGCCGCGUGAGUGAUGAAGGUCUUCGGAUCGUAAAACUCUGUUAUUAGGGAAGAACAUAUGUGUAAGUAACUGUGCACAUCUUGACGGUACCUAAUCAGAAAGCCACGGCUAACUACGUG